AGCCCCGGAAGAAGAUUUCUGGAGGGGUACUUCCGGUUCCGGUGUCCUCCGGCCAACGCCUCCGCCCGGGGCCGGAUCCGGAGAGCGGUCCGGGGAGGGGACACGGUGGGGGCGGCUAGGGAGAGAAGGAGGCGGGGGUAGCGUGAGGAGUAAGGAGGUGAGUGGAGAGGAGGAGCCUGGGGGGAUGUAGCACUUCACCCCUCUUGUUAAGGGUGCAUUUUUAAACCGUUUUCCCUCAGGAUCAUGGACCAACCCCUAAGCCAAGGGGGUUGAGGAAGUGACUUUCUAUGUGAGCGAAUAAUCCGAUAACUGUCAUCUAGCAGAAGGGUGUGAGUGUCAGACCCAGGGUACUGGGCGAGAUGGCCACUGGGCUGGUCAGGCUUCUUCCUUUUGUGUUGUGGAAUUAUAUAAAGUAAAAACUAGGAAAGCUCUAAUAGCUCAUCAGCUGAGAUUACUUGUAAGAGCAAGGUGCAGCCACCCAAGAGAGGAUGAGAAGGGGAAUAAAAUGAUGUUACCCUUGUUACUGGUUGCAAAGCCACAAAGGAUGGAGCCAAACGCAGGUAAUUCAUCCAGAAUCUUUUAAACUGGUAACACGUUGAGCAAUUUGCAGAAACAUUCUCUGUGAUGCUUGAACAAGAAAACUAAGGUACCAUAUGUAGUUAAUUUUGAAAUGUCUCUGUUGAACUAAACUGGAGAAGUAUGACUUCUCUGUUAAACCUAACCUGUUUUGAACAGGAGUCAGUCUGCCUGUCAGCUGGAAGGAUGAUGGCUGUGAUGCAUGAUAUUGAGUGGAAAUAACAUGUAAAACUCAGAAAGAUGCAGAGAGCUUUCUCCCUCCCUUCUCAGGCUAGCCAAGAAUACAAAACUGGAGGAUACCCAGAUCUGGAAUUUACAUUUGUAUGAUCUUCUACUUAUGUAGGUCAAAUUACUUGAAGGGUAUGAUGGAAAUCUUCACGCACCUUUUGUGGGAUAUUGUUUCUGGAAUAUAAUUUUUCUAACAAUGAAGAAUUUUCCCCUCAAGCAUUAAUAGCCACCUGAAAGUAAUUACAGUUUAAGAAGCAGUGUGUUUCCUGUGACAAAGUGUUCUCUGAUGCGACUGCUUAUUAGGUGGUGAAUGGGAGAGAACAGGGCUAUCUAUCAGUUUUACUUUAUUUCUCACCCUUAAAAACCCUCAAAAUAAAAAUACUUGCUUCAAGUGCUCGAUAAUGG
rnacentral:lncRNA from 1 species